UGAGGGACGAAUGGAAGUUCCUUCGGGAGCAACAACGUUGAGUUCAUACUGUCGAGAAAAGCAUCGCAUAGCGUUGAGUGGUGAGCCAAUCGUUCUGAAAACCGACACAGGUAGGCAAGCUGAGAAGGCUAAGGGGAGCGGGAUAACUCCUGUUAAGGAACUAGGCAAAUUAGCCCCGUAACUUAGGGAGAAGGGGUACUCUGGUUGGUUAAUAGCUGACUGGAGUCGCAGUGACAAGGCAGCGGCGACUGUUUACCAAAAACACAGGGCUCUGCGAAUUCGAUAAGAAGACGUAUAGGGUCUGACGCCUGCCCAGUGCUGGAAGGUUAAGGGGAAAGGUUAGCGCAAGCGAAGCUUUGAACCGAAGCCCCAGUAAACGGCGGCCGUGACUAUAACGGUCCUAAGGUAGCGAAAUUCCUUGUCGGGUAAGUUCCGACCUGCACGAAUGGCGUAACGAUCGCUGCACUGUCUCAACAGGAGACCCGGUGAAAUUUCAGUCUGGGUGAAGAUGCCCAGAACUCGCAACUAGACGGAAAGACCCCAUGGAGCUUUACUGUAGCUUGGUAUUGUGCUUUGUUGUAUGGUGUACAGGAUAGGUAGGAGGCAGAGAACCCGGUUCGCCAGGAUCGGGGGAGCCAACGGUGGGAUACUACCCUCUAUACAACGGAGUACUAACUUGUGGAUGUGGAGAGCAUCGCAAGGACAGUGCUAGGUGGGCAGUUUGACUGGGGCGGUCGCCUCCCAAAGAGUAACGGAGGCGCGCUAAGGUUGGCUCAGGUUGGUUGGAAAUCAACCAUAGAGUGUAAGGGCAAAAGCCAGCUUGACUGUGAGACUGACAGGUCGAACAGGAGGGAAACCUGGCCCUAGUGACCCUGCGGCCCUGAGUGGAAAGGCCGUUGAUCAGCGGAUAAAAGCUACCCUGGGGAUAACAGGCUUAUACUGCCCGAGAGUUCACAUCGACGGCAGUGUUUGGCACCUCGAUGUCGGCUCAUCGCAUCCUGGGGCUGGAGCAGGUCCCAAGGGUUAGGCUGUUCGCCUAUUAAAGCGGUACGUGAGCUGGGUUCAGAACGUCGUGAGACAGUUCGGUCCCUAUCUGUUGCGAGCGUAGGAGACUUGAGAAGGGUAGCCCCUAGUACGAGAGGACCGGGGUUAGUGGACCUCUGGUGAAUCAGUUGUCGUGCAAGCGGCAGUAGCUGAGUAGCUAAGUUCAUGAGUGAUAACCGCUGACAGCAUCUAAGCGGGAAGCACGCUUCAAGACUAGGUCUCUCAGGAUCGUUCGAGAAGAGGACGUAGAUAGGCUGGAGAUGUAAGCACCGUGAGGUGUUGAGUCGACCAGUACUAAUCAUCCGAUUCCUUUACC
rnacentral:rRNA from 1 species